AGUUACUUUUUUAUGGAGUAACGCAAUAUUUUUUUUUUUUUUUUCAAUUUAUUGAUCGACAGCUCUCCGGUCCCCAUGUUGACAAAUCAGAAGAUGCUACUGUAGUUGUAAAAUAAAUAUGAAUAUGAAUUAAUUCAUCUCACUCAC